GAUCGGCCCGCGUCUGAUUAGCUAGUUGGUGAGGUAACGGCUCACCAAGGCGACGAUCAGUAGCUGGUCUGAGAGGAUGAUCAGCCACAUUGGGACUGAGACACGGCCCAAACUCCUACGGGAGGCAGCAGUGGGGAAUAUUGGACAAUGGGCGCAAGCCUGAUCCAGCCAUGCUGCGUGAGUGAUGAAGGCCCUAGGGUUGUAAAGCUCUUUUGUGCGGGAAGAUAAUGACGGUACCGCAAGAAUAAGCCCCGGCUAACUUCGUGCCAGCAGCCGCGGUAAUACGAAGGGGGCUAGCGUUGCUCGGAAUCACUGGGCGUAAAGGGUGCGUAGGCUGGUCUUUAAGUCAGGGGUGAAAUCCUGGAGCUCAACUCCAGAACUGCCUUUGAAACUGAAGAUCUUGAGUUCGGGAGAGGUGAGUGGAACUGCGAGUGUAAAAGUGAAAUUUCUAGAUAUUCGCAAGAACACCCGUGGGCGAAAGCCGCUCACUGGCCCGAUACUGACGCUUAAGCACGAAAGCGUGGGGGAGCAAAAAAGGAUUAGAUUACCCUGGUAGUCCCCCCCCGUAAACGAUGAAUGCCCGCCGUGUUUGGGUUUACUCCACUAGGGGGCGCAGCUUAAGCUUUUAGCCUUUCGCCUG
rnacentral:rRNA from 1 species